rnacentral:rRNA from 1 species
UACAGGGGGGGCAAGCGUUGUCCGGAAUUAUUGGGCGUAAAGAGCUCGUAGGCGGUCUGUCGCGUCGGCUGUGAAAACUCGGGGCUCAACUCCGAGCUUGCAGUCGAUACGGGCAGGCUAGAGUUCGGCAGGGGAGGACUGGAAUUCCUGGUGUAGCGGUGAAAUGCGCAGAUAUCAGGAGGAACACCGGUGGCGAAGGCGGGUCUCUGGGCCGAUACUGACGCUGAGGAGCGAAAGCGUGGGGAGCGAACAGG